rnacentral:rRNA from 1 species
UACGUAGGUGACCAGCGUUGUCCGGAUUUACUGGGCGUAAAGAGCGCGCAGGCGGUCGUUCAAGUCGAGUGUGAAAGCCCCCGGCUCAACUGGGGAGGGUCACUCGAUACUGAUCGACUUGAAGGCAGGAGAGGGAAGCGGAAUUCCACGUGUAGCAGUGAAAUGCGUAGAGAUGUGGAGGAACACCGAUGGCGAAGGCAGCCCCCUGGGCCAAUACUGACGCUCAUGCACGAAAGCGUGGGGAGCAAACAGG